AAAGUCGUAACAAGGUUUCCGUAGGUGAACCUGCGGAAGGAUCAUUAUCGAGUGUUGGGGUCCCUCGGGCCCGACCUCCCAUCCUGUGUCUCCUACACCAUGUUGCUUCGGCGGAUCCGUCCCCGUCAGGGGACCGCCGGGGGGUCUCUGACCCUCGGGCCCGCGUCCGCCGAUGGCCACCUACAAAAUUCUAUGAAACGUGUCGUCUGAGUAUACAAAAAAUAAAAGCAAAACUUUCAACAACGGAUCUCUUGGUUCUG
rnacentral:misc_RNA from 1 species